CCCACCUGGGGAUCUUGUUAAAAUGCAGAUUAUGGCUCAGUAGGUCUCUGGUGGGUUCUGAUAUUUUGCAUUUUUAACAAGCUCCCAGGAGAAGCCAG
rfam:Pan troglodytes isolate Yerkes chimp pedigree #C0471 (Clint) chromosome 10, whole genome shotgun sequence.